rnacentral:rRNA from 1 species
GAUGAACGCUGACAGAAUGCUUAACACAUGCAAGUCAUUGGCGAAGCUGCGCUUGCGCAGUCUAGCCAAGGCGGACGGGUGAGUAACGCGUAAGGAACUUGCCCUUCAGACAGGGAUAACAGACGGAAACGACUGAUAACACCUGGUAUUGUCAGGCUGGCGCAUGCCGGCCUGAUGAAAGGGGACGCUGCAGGAGAGCCUUGCGUCCUAUUAGCUAGUUGGUGGGGUAACGGCCCACCAAGGCGAUGAUAAGUAGCCGGCCUGAGAGGGUGAACGGCCACAAGGGGACUGAGAUACGGCACUUACUAAUACGGGAGGCAGCAGUGGGGAAUAUUGGACAAUGGGGGCAACCCUGAUCCAGCAAUUCUGUGUGCACGAAGAAGGUUUUCGGAUAGUAAAGUGCUUUCAGAAGGGAAGAAGAAAGUGACGGUACCUGAAGAAGAAGCGACGGCUAAAUACGUG